rnacentral:tRNA from 2 species
GGAUCUUUAUUAUAUUUUAGUAUAGCCGAUUGCAGAUUGGCAGGAUUAGGGUCUU